UUUACUUUUUUUACAAAAAAUAAUAAGUUUAUAUUAAACUAUCAACCGGAAGCAUAAUGGCAAAACGCUUUUAUGUUAUUAUCACAAUAAAUAAAUUAAUUUGGCAAUUUGCUGAGGUAACGCUCUUGGUGUUGUCGCACAAAAGAGUCGCAGCUGAAAAGUUUCAGAUACGAUUGAGCUAACAAUUUAAACAUGCGACAUUGUUCAACGAAGUCAUAUAUAAAACUUUGGUGGAAUUAAAGUUUUCAUAAGAUUUAAAAUGAACAAAAUUAAUUACAAUAAUUUUUUACUCUAAAUGUAUUCAUAUCUUACAAUAUAAAUAUUUUAAUGUACAAAACGUUUUGAAGGAAAAUAAAUAA